UACUCAUUAAAAGUUAACAACUAAAAGAGAAGAUUAAUAUCUAAGAUCUACACUUAGAUACAAAACUAAACUAUACAGAUCCUUCUUCUUCUUCUCCAUCGCCAACUCAAUCUCCUACACUUUUCUCAGAACCAGCUUCAUUAUCCGACUCGUUUCCAUCUCCAUUAUCAUCUUCACCUUCCAAAUACCGAACCUUUUUCCGCAAUUCCUCCAAUUCCCUCUCCAUUACAUACAUUUUCUCCUUCAACUCCAUGUUUUCCUCCUCCAAUCUCUCAAUAUGUUCCUCCACAUCGUCAACUCUGUAACCAAAAUCAUACGUAUCUCGACCCAAGCCACCAUUUCUUGGGUCAUAGAUCAUCUCAAAACGGCUCAAGUCAUGGCUUAACCUCUUCUCCACUUCCUCAACAUCACUGUUCCAGGAUAUAAUAACCCCUUCUCCUUCAUCUUCUUCUUCUGGCUCGUUUUC
rnacentral:misc_RNA from 1 species